GCCGGGUGCAGUGGCGCGCGCCUGUAAUCCAAGCUGCUGGGAGGCUGAGGCUGGCGGAUCGCUUGAGUUCAGGGGUUCUGGGCUGCAGUGGACUAUGUCGAUCGGGUGUCCGUGCUAAGUUCGGUAUCGAUAUGGUGCUCCUGGGGGAGCUCGGGACCACCAGGUCGUCUAAGGAGGGGUGAACCGGCCCAGGUCGGAGACGGAGCAGGUCAAAGCCCCCGUGCCGAUCAGUAGUGGGGUCGCACCUGUGAAUAGACACUGCAGUGCAGCCUGAGCGAGAUGAUCUGUUU
rnacentral:SRP_RNA from 1 species